CACGUAGGGUGCGAGCGUUGUCCGGAAUUAUUGGGCGUAAAGAGCUCGUAGGCGGUGUGUCGCGUCGGCCGUGAAAACCUGCAGCUUAACUGUGGGCUUGCGGUCGAUACGGGCAUCACUGGAGUUCGGCAGGGGAGACUGGAAUUCCUGGUGUAGCGGUGAAAUGCGCAGAUAUCAGGAGGGAACACCGGGUGGCGGAAGGCGGGUCUCUGGGCC
rnacentral:rRNA from 1 species